UGCUUAUUUAAAAGGAACGGUGUAUUAAAAGCAUCAUCAUGUAUUUCACUGCGUGAGAUUACGACCAGAAAGAUCACAUUCAGCCAGUAGACUUGAAUGAUCCCGGUCUCUGUCAGCGCCACCCUGAGUGGAUCUACUGUCAGAGGGUGUCACAUUACCAGCGUCCACACUGUGGCCCACUGUCUCCUCAAUGGACCCUUUGAUGGGCCGGCCAAGGGGGGCUUUCAACGUGGACCUCGCCGUGAUCCACAAGGCUCCGGGCGGGCUCUUGCGCCACAGAACACCUGGAAGUCCUCAUCCCUCUUCGUCCUGCCCCGUCUGCAGUUCAAAGCAUGUUGACUGAAUUAUCCGAAGAGAAAAGGGAAACUGUCGUCGGCCGGAAAGAAACUUCUCCGACAGCUGCUUGGCCGCCUGUAAUCCCGUACGGGAGAGGACAGGCGGUGUCACGAGAUGUUCAGAGGAAGAGUGGAAGCCGAGGUCUCCGGUGUGAGUGGCCACCGAUGAGGUGUUGAGAGGGAGGUGCAAGCCCACACCAGGACACUGAGGAUAGACAUGAGAGGAGCCUCUUUCAACAGAACACGUGUUCAGGGAUCAUAACAAAAUGUGCAUUCA